GGACCGGUAGCUCAGUUGGAUAGAGCAACAGCCUUCUAAGCUGUGGGUCCCGGGUUCGAGCCCCGGCCGGUUCA
rnacentral:tRNA from 1 species